rnacentral:rRNA from 1 species
GGGAUUAGAUACCCCACUAUGCUUAGCCCUAAACUCAGAUGGAUAUUUACAAGACCAUCCGCCAGGGUACUACGAGCGCUAGCUUAAAACCCAAAGGACUUGACGGUGUUUCAGACCCAUCUAGAGGAGCCUGUUCUAGAACCGAUAAUCCCCGUUUAACCUCACCAUCUCUUGUUUUCCCCGCCUAUAUACCGCCGUCGUAAGCUUACCCUGUGAAGGACCCCAAGUGAGCAAAAUGGGCACAGCCCCGAACGUCAGGUCGAGGUGUAGCUCACGAGAUGGGAACAAAUAGGCUACAUUUUCUACAACAGAAUAAAUACGAACGGCACUAUGAAACUAGUGCCUGAAGGUGGAUUUAGAAGUAAAAAAGAAGUAGAGAGUCUUUUUGAAUUAGGCUCUGAAACGCGCACACACCGCCC